rnacentral:tRNA from 1 species
GCCGGCAUAGCUCAGUUGGUAGAGCAGCUGAUUUGUAAUCAGCAGGUCACCGGUUCGAGUCCGGUUGCCGGCU